rnacentral:rRNA from 1 species
UGAACGCUGGCGGUAUGCUUAACACAUGCAAGUCGAACGGAAACGAUACUAGCUUGCUAGUAGGCGUCGAGUGGCGGACGGGUGAGUAACGCGUAGGAAUCUGCCUGAUAGUGGGGGAUAGCCCGAAGAAAUUCGGAUUAAUACCGCAUAAUCUAUUCGUAGUAAAGUGGGGGACUUUCGAGCCUCACGCUAUCAGAUGAGCCUGCGUAAGAUUAGCUUGUUGGUAGGGUAAAAGCCUACCAAGGCGACGAUCUUUAGCUGGUCUGAGAGGAUGAUCAGCCACAUCGGGACUGAGACACGGCCCGAACUCCUACGGGAGGCAGCAGUGGGGAAUAUUGGACAAUGGGGGCAACCCUGAUCCAGCAAUACCGCGUGUGUGAAGAAGGCCUGAGGGUUGUAAAGCACUUUCAAUUGUGAAGAAAAGUUAGCGGUUAAUAACCGUUAGCCUUGACGUUAACUUUAGAAGAAGCACCGGCUAACUCCGUGCCAGCAGCCGCGGUAAUACGGAGGGUGCAAGCGUUAAUCGGAAUUACUGGGCGUAAAGCGUGCGUAGGCGGUUUAUUAAGUCAGAUGUGAAAGCCCCGGGCUUAACCUGGGAACUGCAUUUGAAACUGGUCAACUAGAGUAUGGUAGAGGAAAGUGGAAUUUCUGGUGUAGCGGUGAAAUGCGUAGAUAUCAGAAGGAACAUCAAUGGCGAAGGCAGCUUUCUGGACCAAUACUGACGCUGAGGUACGAAAGCGUGGGUAGCAAACAGGAUUAGAUACCCUGGUAGUCCACGCCGUAAACGAUGAUAACUAGCCGUUGGGGGGAUUUACCCUUUAGUGGCGAAGCUAACGCGUUAAGUUAUCCGCCUGGGGAGUACGGCCGCAAGGUUAAAACUCAAAGGAAUUGACGGGGACCCGCACAAGCGGUGGAGCAUGUGGUUUAAUUCGAUGCAACGCGAAGAACCUUACCUGGUCUUGACAUCCUGCGAACUUUCUAGAAAUAGAUUGGUGCCUUCGGGAACGCAGUGACAGGUGCUGCAUGGCUGUCGUCAGCUCGUGUCGUGAGAUGUUGGGUUAAGUCCCGUAACGAGCGCAACCCCUAUCCUUAUUUGCCAGCACAUCAUGGUGGGAACUAUAAGGAGACUGCCGGUGAUAAACCGGAGGAAGGCGGGGACGACGUCAAGUCAUCAUGGCCCUUACGACCAGGGCUACACACGUGCUACAAUGGGAAGGACAAAGAGCCGCGAAGCCGCGAGGUGUAGCUAAUCUCAUAAACCUUUUCGUAGUCCGGAUUGGAGUCUGCAACUCGACUCCAUGAAGUCGGAAUCGCUAGUAAUCGUAGAUCAGAAUGCUACGGUGAAUACGUUCCCGGGUCUUGUACUCACCGCCC